rnacentral:rRNA from 1 species
CUGGCGGCGUGCCUAACACAUGCAAGUCGAGCGAUGAGGCUCCCUUCGGGGGGUACAUCAGCGGCGAACGGGUGAGUAACACGUGGGUGACCUUCCCCAAAGACGGGGAUAACUCUUGGAAACAGGGGCUAAUACCCGAUGUGCUCAGCAGUUCACUCUGUUGAGUAAAGCUAUGGCGCUUUGGGAUGGGCCCGCGGCCCAUCAGCUAGUUGGUAGGGUAAAGGCCUACCAAGGCUAAGACGGGUAGGGGGCGUGAGAGCGCGAUCCCCCACACUGGCACUGAGACACGGGCCAGACUCCUACGGGAGGCAGCAGUGAGGAAUAUUGCGCAAUGGACGAAAGUCUGACGCAGCGACGCCGCGUGGGCGAUGAAGGCCUUCGGGUCGUAAAGCCCUUUUCUGGGGGAAGAGAAAGGACGGUACCCCAGGAAUAAGCCCCGGCUAACUACGUGCCAGCAGCCGCGGUAAAACGUAGGGGGCAAGCGUUAUCCGGAUUUACUGGGCGUAAAGAGCGUUGAGGCGGUUUUGUAAGUUGGGCGUGAAAGCCCUGGGCUUAACUCAGGGAAGCCGUUCAAUACUGCGAAACUUGAGGGCAGCAGAGGGAGGUGGAAUUCCCGGAGUAGCGGUGAAAUGCGUAGAUAUCGGGAGGAACACCAGUGGCGAAGGCGGCCUCCUGGGCUGCUCCUGACGCUGAAGGCGAAAGCUAGGGGAGCGAACGGGAUUAGAAACCCCGGUAGUCCUAGCCGUAAACGAUGGAUGCUAGGUGUGGGGGGUGUAGAUUCCCUCCGUGCCGCAGUUAACGCGUUAAGCAUCCCGCCUGGGGAGUACGGCCGCAAGGCUAAAACUCAAACGAAUUGACGGG